GGAGGAAAGUAGGGGAUCGUAAGACCUUGCGCUUUGGGAGCGGCCGAUGUCUGAUUAGCUAGUUGGUGGGGUAAAGGCCUACCAAGGCGACGAUCAGUAGUUGGUCUGAGAGGACGACCAGCCACACUGGGACUGAGACACGGCCCAGACUCCUACGGGAGGCAGCAGUGGGGAAUUUUGGACAAUGGGCGCAAGCCUGAUCCAGCAAUGCCGCGUGAGUGAAGAAGGCCUUCGGGUUGUAAAGCUCUUUCAGCCGGGAAGAAAAUGCAUGGGUUAAUACCCUGUGCAGAUGACGGUACCGGAAGAAGAAGCACCGGCUAACUACGUGCCAGCAGCCGCGGUAAUACGUAGGGUGCGAGCGUUAAUCGGAAUUACUGGGCGUAAAGGGUGCGCAGGCGGUUUUGUAAGUCAGAUGUGAAAUCCCCGGACUUAACCUGGGAACUGCGUUUGAAACUACAAGGCUAG
rnacentral:rRNA from 1 species